CUGAGGUUCUCCUUCUAUAGAGAGUCCUGCCUGCCCAGUGACUAAAGGUUAAACGGCCGCGGUAUCUUGACCGUGCGAAGGUAGCAUAAUCAUUUGUCUCCUAAAUAGAGACUAGUAUGAAUGGCAAGACGGAGCUUAACUGUCUCCUUUCCUUACUUCUGAACUUCACAUUCCCGUGAAGAGGCGGGAAUAUAUUCGUCAGACGAGAAGACCCUGUCGAGCUUAAGCAAAAGCCUAACUGUUUAUUUCUUCUUAUUAACCUAAUUUCUAGAACUAGUUAACAAAAAAGCUUAACAGAUUACGCCUUAGCUUUGGUUGGGGCAACCACGGAGAAAGAAAAUCCUCCGUUAUUAGUGAUUUAAACCAAGAAAAACUACUCUACAAUCAUCUUAAUGAAAGUAUGAUCCACUCCGGUGAUCAAAGGAACAAGUUACCGCAGGGAUAACAGCGUUAUCUUUUCUGAGAGUCCAUAUUGACGAAAAGGUUUGCGACCUCGAUGUUGGAUCGGGACAUCCUAAAGGUGCAGAAGCUUUUAAGGGUUGGUCUGUUCGACCAUUAAAGUCCUACGUGAUCUGAGUUCAGACCGG
rnacentral:rRNA from 1 species